UGCGUAGGCGGGCUAAUAAGUCAGUGGUGAAAUCUUUCGGCUCAACCGAGAAACUGCCAUUGAUACUGUUAGUCUUGAGUUCGGUUGAGGUAGGCGGAAUGUGUAAUGUAGCGGUGAAAUGCUUUGAUAUUACACAGAACACCAAUUGCGUAGGCAGCUUACUAGACCGACACUGACGCUGAGGCACGAAAGCGUGGGGAGCGAACAGGAUUAGAUACCCUGGUAGUCC
rnacentral:rRNA from 1 species